CAAUUAUACCGUGAAACUGCGAAUGGCUCAUUAAAUCAGUUAUCGUUUAUUUGAUAGUACCUUACUACUUGGAUAACCGUGGUAAUUCUAGAGCUAAUACAUGCUGAAAACCCCGACUUCGGGAGGGGUGUAUUUAUUAGAUAAAAAACCAACGCCCUUCGGGGCUUCUUGGUGAUUCAUGAUAACUUCACGGAUCGCAUGGCCUUGCGCCGGCGACGGUUCAUUCAAAUUUCUGCCCUAUCAACUUUCGAUGGUAAGGUAUUGGCUUACCAUGGUUUCAACGGGUAACGGGGAAUUAGGGUUCGAUUCCGGAGAGGGAGCCUGAGAAACGGCUACCACAUCCAAGGAAGGCAGCAGGCGCGCAAAUUACCCAAUCCCGACACGGGGAGGUAGUGACAAUAAAUACUGAUACAGGGCUCUUUUGGGUCUUGUAAUUGGAAUGAGUACAAUUUAAACCUCUUAACGAGGAACAAUUGGAGGGCAAGUCUGGUGCCAGCAGCCGCGGUAAUUCCAGCUCCAAUAGCGUAUAUUAAAGUUGUUGCAGUUAAAAAGCUCGUAGUUGAAACUUGGGCCUGGCUGGCAGGUCCGCCUCACCGCGUGUACUUGUCCGGCCGGGCCUUUCCUUCUGGAGAACCUCAUGCCCUUCACUGGGUGUGCUGGGGAACCAGGACUUUUACUUUGAAAAAAUUAGAGUGUUCAAAGCAGGCCUUUGCUCGAAUACGUUAGCAUGGAAUAAUAGAAUAGGACGUGCGGUCCUAUUUUGUUGGUUUCUAGGACCGCCGUAAUGAUUAAUAGGGACAGUCGGGGGCAUCAGUAUUCAAUUGUCAGAGGUGAAAUUCUUGGAUUUAUUGAAGACUAACUACUGCGAAAGCAUUUGCCAA
rnacentral:rRNA from 1 species